rnacentral:rRNA from 10 species
CUUGACGACCAUAGAGCAUUGGAACCACCUGAUCCCAUCCCGAACUCAGUAGUGAAACGAUGCAUCGCCGA